UACGUAGGGUCCGAGCGUUGUCCGGAAUUAUUGGGCGUAAAGAGCUCGUAGGCGGUUUGUCGCGUCUGCUGUGAAAUCCCGAGGCUCAACCUCGGGCCUGCAGUGGGUACGGGCAGACUUGAGUGGUGUAGGGGAGACUGGAAUUCCUGGUGUAGCGGUGGAAUGCGCAGAUAUCAGGAGGAACACCGAUGGCGAAGGCAGGUCUCUGGGCCGAAACUGACGCUGAGGCGCGAAAGCGUGGGGAGCGAACAGG
rnacentral:rRNA from 1 species